rnacentral:rRNA from 5 species
UAGGGAAUCUUCCGCAAUGGACGAAAGUCUGACGGAGCAACGCCGCGUGAGUGAUGAAGGUUUUCGGAUCGUAAAACUCUGUUGUUAGGGAAGAACAAGUUGGGUAGUAACUGACCCAACCUUGACGGUACCUAACCAGAAAGCCACGGCUAACUACGUGCCAGCAGCCGCGGUAAUACGUAGGUGGCAAGCGUUGUCCGGAAUUAUUGGGCGUAAAGCGCUCGCAGGCGGUCUUUUAAGUCUGAUGUGAAAGCCCACGGCUUAACCGUGGAGGGUCAUUGGAAACUGGAGGACUUGAGUACAGAAGAGGAGAGUGGAAUUCCACGUGUAGCGGUGAAAUGCGUAGAGAUGUGGAGGAACACCAGUGGCGAAGGCGACUCUCUGGUCUGUAACUGACGCUGAGGAGCGAAAGCGUGGGUAGCGAACAGG